CAUUAGAUGGCCGAAACCAAGCAAUGGAAUUUUAACCCAUUUUAUAAUAUUAUUAAAUAUUUCUAAUGA
rnacentral:tRNA from 1 species